UACUACGACCUUCAGAUGUCUCUUUCAAAGAAACAUGUUUUGUUGCCGUUACGUCAUCGCGCAAGUCCUUGUGGGCCGGUUCAGCGUGUCGGCAGCGCCGCGCCGUCAGUUGGCUAUGUGCGGAGAUCGGGGAUGGUGGAGAGUCGGCGCGAUGUUGAGCGGGCGGCGGACAGCGAUUCUGUCCCUGGACCCAAAGAAGACGAUGACAGCGAGGGUGACCUCCAUCAUCUCGAAAGAGAAGGAAGACAGGGUGUCGACCAGUGGAGUGAUCAGGUGGUACUCGACGACAGCGAAGAAGAGGAAGACGCCGAAUCUACCUCUGACAUCUACCGUGACGACGGCGAUGAUGAUGAUAGUGACUUGAAAAUAGAUUCUGCCUGUUCUAGUAACGCAUUGGCAUUAGAAGCAAAAAAAAUAAGCGAAUCUCGACCAAGCUUUGGUAAUAUAGUGGUAAGCAGUUCAUCGGACGUUCAUUUUGGCAAUAAAACGUUUUACAACGGUCCAGUGACAAUUAAACAAUUUGUGUGCACGACAAAAAACGGAACUAUUGAUGCACAUCACAGUGAAAAUGGUUAUAGGAAUUGCGAUGAUUCGAAAGUGGAUGUGGAUGAAGUGUUGGAUCCCAUGUCUAGUGGGUUGCCUAAUGGCAAGGUGCAGUGUCCUACACCUUCAAGUCCCAAUGUUAUUAUAAGUGUCCCAUCCGCAUUAGCAGUAACAAGUGAACCUUCCCCAGGAGUGAACGGCAGUUUGCUUCAGAUAUGGCAGCCUUCUGGAAACCAAGAGGUGGAGCCAAUGGUGGGGUGGAAGAACAGAAUGUUGCAGUGGGGGCGCAAAAUGAAGUGUACAAGGACUCGUCUGACAAUGCUAGCAAUUAUCUGCGUAUGUGUAAUGGUGGUGUUGGUGGCGGUACUCUUCUCACUGCCACGUCUUGAAGAGGAAACAGGUACGUCGGUUCGUCUCCCCGAGGACGGCAUCAUAUCCGCAACGUUCAGUUAUCGGGCGACAAACAAUGCUGUAAGUGGGACGCUGAGAAUUAUCAAUCGACGGACGUGGUUGGCCCAACCAGCUGUCAGGCCUAGCAACCCACUUCAGCAUCCGGUGCCAUACGUGGUGAUACUGCACACAGCCACUGACAACUGUUCGACGCAAGCAGAAUGCGUGUUCAUUGUGCGUCAUAUUCAGACAUUCCACAUCGAAAGCAACGGGUGGAACGACAUCGGGUACAGCUUCCUGGUGGGUGGCGACGGGAACGUGUAUGAGGGCCGCGGUUGGGACACAGAAGGUGCUUUCGCCUACGGUUACAACAGUCGAGCUAUCGGCAUUGCGUUCAUCGGAACGUUCACAGUGGAUGUGCCUGAACCGAAGCAGAUCUUAGCUGGGAAACAGCUGAUGGAAUUGGGGGUGACAAUGGGAAAGAUUUCACCCCAUUAUAAACUUUUGGCACAUCGACAGGUGUCACCCACAGAGAGCCCCGGUCUAGCAUUUUAUGAAUUUCUAAAAACUUGGCCACAUUGGGCCGAACAUCCAUAAGUCAACUCUACGUAUCGUGUCAUAUAACGUCACUUUAUAUGUGAAACUUUGUAGCUGAUAUUUUUAGUCGUUUGAUUCAGAAAAAUCAGAGGUUAUUCUCAGAAGAUACGCGGUUGUGGUUAUGAAGAUAUUGACAGUCGGUCAUGUUAACAUUCGGGGCUUGAUAAAUAUGGUUGGCUGUACCACGCUAAGCACACAUAUGUGUUACCAUAUAUUGAAUUGGUUAUGUACACCGUUUCCACAUAAUUCGCUGUUACUGGGGAAAGAAUGAGGAUGCAGGAUUUGAUGUUCUCACGACAUCAUUGCCUUCUGGGCUGUACGACCGUGUAAUCUGGUAGACGUUUACCAACGUUUCAGAGGCAUUUGCUGAAUCCAUCAUCAGGGUGAUGACCGUAGGGUGCUACAACACAGAAGACAGCCAUGUUCGAGAAUGAGGAUGUUUAGAAAAUUUAUUGUGAAGACUGAACAAUGGAGUGUCGCCAACUGUCCGCAUCUUGCAGUAUGUUGUUUAUUGGUAGGCGUGUAUGUUACAUCGAAAAAAUACAUAUUACAGCUGAAUCUGGAAA